rnacentral:rRNA from 1 species
UACGUAGGGGGCAAGCGUUGUCCGGAAUCAUUGGGCGUAAAGCGCGUGUAGGCGGCCAUGUAAGUCCGUUCUGAAAGCCCGGGGCUCAACCCCGGGAGGCGGAUGGAUACUGCAUGGCUCGAGUACGGAAGAGGCGAGUGGAAUUCCUGGUGUAGCGGUGGAAUGCGCAGAUAUCAGGAGGAACACCGGUGGCGAAGGCGGGUCUCUGGGCAGUAACUGACGCUGAGGAGCGAAAGCGUGGGGAGCGAACAGG